rnacentral:lncRNA from 1 species
AAUAGCAUGGCAAAGUUCAUUCUUCAAAUUGAAAAUCAAGUUUUGGGAGGGAAAGUAUGUUACUUAGAAUACAAGUUUCAUUUUCACCAUACAUGUUUCAUUCAAAAUCCAUUUUCAUUUCAAAUUCCAAGCAUUACAUCAUAAGUCAUUACAUAAAAAAACAUUUUGACCUAGGUUGACUUUUGGUCAACUAUUUACUUUUUGAACAACCAAUUGACCAAAGUCAACUGACUAAGUUUCUAACUAUCCUAACUCUAAUUUCGGUCUUAAUUAUCCCACAAGCCAUCCCAUUUAUUUGAGUCCCCAAGACCUUCAUUUAUUCUUGAUUUUUCAUGUUUGUCCAUGAAUCAUGCUUUGACUUUAUUACCAAAGUUGCAUCCUCCAAGCCUUGAUAUGAUAAAACCUGCAGAAUUAAUGUACAAACAGUUCAUACCAUGAUUCAUAACUGCAAUGCAAUGCAUCACAAUAUCAUAAACCAUAAUAGUCCAUGGCAAUACAAUCAAGUGUACUUCAAACAUGACAAGCCAUAUAUCAUUCUAAGACCAAUCCAAAUUCAAGCCAUAUAUCAUUCUAACACCACUUCAAAUUCAAACAUAUUUUAACCUUCACUUCACAUUACUAACAGACUUCCAUAAUAUUCAACUUCACAUUCCUAAUACACUAGCUAUAGCCAACUGUCAUAACAUAAAUUAGUUCUAGCAGAGUAGCAACUAACAUUAAAACCUCAAAUUAGCUUCAAUCACUAAAAGAAUAAAACAACAACACAUUCAUUUAACUAGAAAUCAAUCCAACAGGUUUUAACCUAACUGCAACGAACAUUAACACAGGAAAUUCACUUAACAGAAAUUGCAUAAGCUAACAUGAACACAUUCCACAAAUUGGAACUGACUUAUGAUUUCUCUUUUUAAACUAAAUGGCAUGGCUCUUAGCAGUUCAGUACAUACAAUCAUCAAUUUAGUGAAUUAACUCCUAAUCAAUUACACUUGCAGGCCUGCAUUUUAUUAGACAUCAUUCUUUCACCAGCCUCAACAGAUUCACAUAGCAGUUUUUAACCUAACUAAUGCUUUUUUCCCCUUAAUAGAGCUUAGCAGUUUAAUUGAUUCUAAACUAACCUACUACACUAACUUUUCAUUUAAUUAUGCUAACCUAACAAUCUAACUGAUUUACUGAAUACAUAACAGAGUUUACACAAACAUGUCAACAAAUUCAUUUGAAACACAAACUAACCAACUUAGUAGUGAUGAUAAAAAUACUAACUAACAACUUAACAUAAGCUUUCCUAUAACUAAAUUUUCAUUCAAAGUUAACUAAUUGCAAACCUAAUUAACUUCUAACAUAAACGAUACCUUUAUUAACUCUCACGAAUCCCUAGAACUGACAGUGUGAUCAUAGAUAACCGUUUUCACCUGAUUAAGAUUAACAUAGUUAAUCUCAGUUAAUCUUCAACCUCUAUAAAUAUAAUCAUUCACCAAUCAUUGCAAAUCAUGAAUCAUUAUUUUUUUACUAACUCCUAAAACCUCAAAGUUCUCUCAUCAUCAUUCUCUUUGAGAAUCUCUCUGCAUCAUCCACAACCCUCACCAUACACUCAUCUCAUUGUUGUUAGAGCUUCAAUGUUUAAAGGUCUAAAUGGUUGAGCUAAGAACCUCUCCUAUUCACUAGGUUCACACAACAACAACAUAACAACUCCACAAAUCCUACAUGCUAUAGAUGUGAAGAAGAAGAAAGAAUCAACAUCACAAGUACCUGGAUAUUAUCUGGAUUUCGUUCUUCGUUUCAUCGUCUCCACCUUUGAAUUCAACACUCACAGAGGAACUUUUCCUCCUUAUAGGUAGGAAUUGACAUCUAAUUUGCUUCAUUUCAAUCACAGUCAUGUAGUUUCUAAUCCAAGGAAUUAAAGCCCUAACGGUGUAGGCUUUAACUCCUUUUCUGCUUUGUUUAAUUUCGAUUUAGGAGGUUAGGGUUCUUAAAUAACUUGUUUCGGUUUAGUUAAUAGAGUGGAAAUUGGGAGAAAUAGAGGUUGAAUUAGGGACGACGAGGUUGACAUGAAGAGUUUGACAUGAAGUUUUUUUUAUUUGAGUCUCCUUCGUCGCCGGUGACGAAUUCCGGCGCGGCGGAGUUCAUUUCAGGUUAACAUUUUGUGAGGAAUCCUUAAUGAUUGUGAAGUGAUCUUGUGAACACAUGGGAGUGAUAUGUGAGGAUACUGACCCCUCUCCUUGAUUUGGC